rnacentral:rRNA from 1 species
AGCGAACGCUGGCGGCAGGCCUAACACAUGCAAGUCGAACGAAGUCUUCGGACUUAGUGGCGGACGGGUGGGUAACACGUGGGAACGUACCUUUUGGUUCGGAAUAACUGAGGGAAACUUCAGCUAAUACCGGAUAAGCUCUUCGGAGGAAAGAUUUAUCGCCCAUUAGAGCGGCCCGCGUUGGAUUAGGUAGUUGGUGUGGUAAAGGCGCACCAAGCCUACGAUCCAUAGCCGGUCUGAGAGGAUGAUCAGCCACACUGGGACUGAGACACGGCCCAGGCUGCUACGGGAGGGAGCAGUGGGGAAUCGUUCGCAAUGGUCGAAAGGCUUAAGCAGCCAUGCCGCGUGGAUGAUGAAGGUCUUAGGAUUGUAAAAUUCUUUUAGCAGGGACGAUAAUGGCGGUACCUGCAGAAAAAGCCCCGGCUAACUUCGUGCCAGCCGCCGCGGUAA